rnacentral:rRNA from 1 species
UGGGGAAUUUUGGACAAUGGGCGAAAGCCUGAUCCAGCAAUGCCGCGUGUGUGAAGAAGGCCUUCGGGUUGUAAAGCACUUUUGUCCGGAAAGAAAUCCUUGGCUCUAAUACGGUCGGGGGAUGACGGUACCGGAAGAAUAAGCACCGGCUAACUACGUGCCAGCAGCCGCGGUAAUACGUAGGGUGCAAGCGUUAAUCGGAAUUACUGGGCGUAAAGCGUGCGCAGGCGGUUUGCUAAGACCGAUGUGAAAUCCCCGGGCUCAACCUGGGAACUGCAUUGGUGACUGGCAGGCUAGAGUAUGGCAGAGGGGGGUAGAAUUCCACGUGUGAGCAGUGAAAUGCGUAGAGAUGUGGAGGAAUACCGAUGGCGAAGGCAGCCCCUGGGCCAAUACUGACGCUCAUGCACGAAAGCGU